rnacentral:rRNA from 1 species
UACGAAGGGUGCAAACGUUGCUCGGAAUUAUUGGGCGUAAAGCGCACGUAGGCGGCAUUGCAAGUCGGAUGUGAAAUCCCUCGGCUUAACCAAGGAAGUGCAUCCGAAACUGCAGUGCUUGAGUACUUAAGAGGAUCGCGGAAUUCCCGGUGUAGAGGUGAAAUUCGUAGAUAUCGGGAGGAACACCGGUGGCGAAGGCGGCAUCCUGGACCGACAUUGACGCUGAAUGGCGAAAGCUAGGGGAGCAAACGGG